rnacentral:rRNA from 1 species
GGCGGAGUGCUUAAUGCGUUUGCUGCAGCACUAAAGGGCGGAAACCCUCUAACACUUAGCACUCAUCGUUUACGGCGUGGACUACCAGGGUAUCUAAUCCUGUUCGCUCCCCACGCUUUCGCGCCUCAGUGUCAGUUACAGACCAGAAAGUCGCCUUCGCCACUGGUGUUCCUCCACAUCUCUACGCAUUUCACCGCUACACGUGGAAUUCCACUUUCCUCUUCUGCACUCAAGUUCCCCAGUUUCCAAUGACCCUCCACGGUUGAGCCGUGGGCUUUCACAUCAGACUUAAGAAACCACCUGCGCGCGCUUUACGCCCAAUAAUUCCGGACAACGCUUGCCACCUACGUAUUACCGCGGCUGCUGGCACGUAGUUAGCCGUGGCUUUCUGGUUAGGUACCGUCAAGGUACCGGCAGUUACUCCGGUACUUGUUCUUCCCUAACAACAGAGCUUUACGACCCGAAGCCUUCAUCGCUCACGCGGCGUUGCUCCGUCAGACUUUCGUCCAUUGCGGAAGAUUCCCUACUGCUGCCUCCCGUAGAGGUCUGGGCCGUGUCUCAGUCCCAGUGUGGCCGAUCACCCUCUCAGGUCGGCUACGCAUCGUUGCCUUGGUGAGCCGUUACCUCACCAACUAGCUAAUGCGCCGCGGGCCCAUCUGUAAGUGACAGCCGAAACCGUCUUUCAGCAUUCCCUCAUGAGAGGGAAUGAAUUAUCCGGUAUUAGCCCCGGUUUCCCGGAGUUAUCCCAGU